rnacentral:rRNA from 1 species
UACAGAGGGUGCGAGCGUUAAUCGGAAUUACUGGGCGUAAAGCGUGCGCAGACGGUUGCGUAAGUCAGAUGUGAAAGCCCCGGGCUCAACCUGGGAAUUGCAUUUGAGACUGCGUAGCUAGGGUGCGGAAGAGGGAAGCGGAAUUGCCGGUGUAGCGGUGAAAUGCGUAGAUAUCGGAAGGAACACCAGUGGCGAAGGCGGCUUCCUGGUCCAGCACCGACGUUCAGGCGCGAAAGCGUGGGGAGCAAACAGG